rnacentral:tRNA from 1 species
GCCACCGUAGCUUAGCCCGGCAGAGCGGCUGAUUCGUAUUAUCAGCAGGUCGGGGGUUCGAAUCCCCCCGGUGGCU